CGAUGAAGCCCAUUCGGGGUGGAUUAGUGGCGAACGGGUGAGUAACACGUGGGCAAUCUGCCCUUCACUCUGGGACAAGCCCUGGAAACGGGGUCUAAUACCGGAUACGACGCGCUCGGGCAUCCGAUGUGCGUGGAAAGCUCCGGCGGUGAAGGAUGAGCCCGCGGCCUAUCAGCUUGUUGGUGAGGUAACGGCUCACCAAGGCGACGACGGGUAGCCGGCCUGAGAGGGCGACCGGCCACACUGGGACUGAGACACGGCCCAGACUCCUACGGGAGGCAGCAGUGGGGAAUAUUGCACAAUGGGCGAAAGCCUGAUGCAGCGACGCCGCGUGAGGGAUGACGGCCUUCGGGUUGUAAACCUCUUUCAGCAGGGAAGAAGCGAAAGUGACGGUACCUGCAGAAGAAGCGCCGGCUAACUACGUGCCAGCAGCCGCGGUAAUACGUAGGGCGCGAGCGUUGUCCGGAAUUAUUGGGCGUAAAGAGCUCGUAGGCGGUCUGUCGCGUCGGAUGUGAAAGCCCGGGGCUUAACCCCGGGUCUGCAUUCGAUACGGGCAGACUAGAGUGUGGUAGGGGAGAUCGGAAUUCCUGGUGUAGCGGUGAAAUGCGCAGAUAUCAGGAGGAACACCGGUGGCGAAGGCGGAUCUCUGGGCCAUUACUGACGCUGAGGAGCGAAAGCGUGGGGAGCGAACAGGAUUAGAUACCCUGGUAGUCCACGCCGUAAACGGUGGGAACUAGGUGUUGGCGACAUUCCACGUCGUCGGUGCCGCAGCUAACGCAUUAAGUUCCCCGCCUGGGGAGUAC
rnacentral:rRNA from 1 species